rnacentral:rRNA from 1 species
AGAGUUUGAUCCUGGCUCAGAAUCAACGCUGGCGGCGCGCUUAACACAUGCAAGUCGAACGAGAAAGGGGAGCAAUCCCUGAGUAAAGUGGCGUACGGGUGAGUAACACGUGGGUAAUCUACCUCUGGGUGGGGAAUAACCCUGGGAAACCGGGGCUAAUACCGCAUAACACUGCAAGGUCAAAGGCGCAAGUCGCCUGGAGAGGAGCCCGCGGCUGAUUAGCUAGUUGGUGAGGUAAAGGCUCACCAAGGCAAUGAUCGGUAGCCGGCCUGAGAGGGCACACGGCCACACUGGCACUGAAACACGGGCCAGACUCCUACGGGAGGCAGCAGUGGGGAAUCUUGCACAAUGGGGGAAACCCUGAUGCAGCGACGCCGCGUGAGUGAUGACGCCCUUCGGGGUGUAAAGCUCUUUCGGCAGGGACGAUAAUGACGGUACCUGAAGAAGAAGCUGCGGCUAACUACGUGCCAGCAGCCGCGGUAAUACGUAGGCAGCGAGCGUUGUUCGGAGUUACUGGGCGUAAAGAGUGCGUAGGCGGUUUUCUAAGUUUGGUGUGAAAUCUCCCGGCUUAACUGGGAGGGUGCGCCGAAGACUGGAAGGCUUGAGUAUGGGAGAGGUAAGCGGAAUUCCUGGUGUAGCGGUGAAAUGCGUAGAUAUCAGGAGGAACACCUGCGGUGUAGACGGCUUACUGGACCAUAACUGACGCUGAGGCACGAAAGCGUG